GAACGCUCACUGGGGUUUCGGCCCUUGUGGGAGUGGCGCACGGGUGAGUAACGCGUGGGAACCUGCCCUGUUGUGGGGGAUAACCGAGGGAAACUUCGGCUAAUACCGCAUGCGCCCCCGGGAGUGAUCCUGGGGGGAAAGAUUUAUCGCAGCAGGAGGGGCCCGCGUCGGAUUAGCUGGUUGGUGGGGUAGCGGCCUACCAAGGCGACGAUCCGUAGCUGGUCUGAGAGGAUGAUCAGCCACACUGGGACUGAGACACGGCCCAGACUCCUACGGGAGGCAGCAGUGGGGAAUAUUGGACAAUGGGCGCAAGCCUGAUCCAGCAAUGCCGCGUGAGUGAUGAAGGCCUUCGGGUUGUAAAGCUCUUUCGCCCGCGACGAUGAUGACGGUAGCGGGAGAAGAAGCCCCGGCUAACUUCGUGCCAGCAGCCGCGGUAU
rnacentral:rRNA from 1 species